rnacentral:misc_RNA from 1 species
AUCAAUGGGAGCUUGCUCCCUGAGAUUAGCGGCGGACGGGUGAGUAACGCGUGGGUAACCUGCCUAUAAGAGGGGGAUAACACUUCGAAAGGAGUGCUAAUACCGCAUAACAUCAGAUGGUUGCAUGACCGACUGAUCAAAGGAGCAAUCCGCUUAUAGAUGGACCCGCGUCUGAUUAGCUAGUUGGUGAGGUAAAGGCUCACCAAGGCGACGAUCAGUAGCCGGCCUGAGAGGGUGAUCGGCCACACUGGGACUGAGACACGGCCCAGACUCCUACGGGAGGCAGCAGUGGG